UACGAAGGGGGCUAGCGUUGCUCGGAAUGACUGGGCGUAAAGGGUGCGUAGGCGGGUCUUUAAGUCAGGGGUGAAAUCCUGGAGCUCAACUCCAGAACUGCCUUUGAUACUGAAGAUCUUGAGUUCGGGAGAGGUGAGUGGAACUGCGAGUGUAGAGGUGAAAUUCGUAGAUAUUCGCAAGAACACCAGUGGCGAAGGCGGCUCACUGGCCCGAUACUGACGCUGAUGCACGACAGCGUGGGGAUCAAACAGG
rnacentral:rRNA from 1 species